rnacentral:rRNA from 1 species
CGGGCCUUGCGCGAUUGNAUAUGCCCNGGUGGUAUUACCUUGUUGGUGAGGUAAUGGCUCACCAAGGCGACGAUCCCUAGCUGGUCUGAGAGGAUGAUCAUGCCACACUGGAACUGAGACACGGUCCAGACUCCUACGGNAGGCAGCAGUGGGGAAUAUUGCACAAUGAGGGAAACCCUGAUGCAGCCAUGCCGCGUGUGUGAAGAAGGCCUUCGGGUUGUAAAGCACUUUCAGCGAGGAGGAAAGGUUGAUNNCUAAUANCUGNCAACUGUGACGUUACUCGCAGAAGAAGCACCGGCUAACUCCGUGCCAGCAGCCGCGGUAAUACGGAGGGUGCAAGCGUUAAUCGGAAUUACUGGGCGUAAAGCGCACGCAGGCGGUUGGAUAAGUUAGAUGUGAAAGCCCCGGGCUCAACCUGGGAAUUGCAUUUAAAACUGUCCAGCUAGAGUCUUGUAGAGGGGGGUAGAAUUCCAGGUGUAGCGGUGAAAUGCGUANAGAUCUGGAGGAAUACCGGUGGCGAAGGCGGCCCCCUGGACAAAGACUGACGCUCAGGUGCGAAAGCGUGGGGAGCAAACAGGAUUAGAUACC